AAAAUGGCGGAGGCUUCGAAAUCUACAAUGAGCGAACCAGACUGUUGUGCCGGUGCCCGGUCUACAAAAUGCGCACAUACCUCGUGAUUGGGAACCAGCGACAAAUCAGUAUAGUGCAUGCUGGGUAGCACGAGUUUGUACGGUCUCUUGUGCACGGGACGUUGAUGUGAGUAGAUGUGUUUAUGUGCCUAUGUCCCAAUGUGAGUAUUGUGUGAGGAAUUGUGAGCCUGUAUAUUUUAUAUGGUAUUGUAUUGUAUAUAUGUGUCUGUAACUGUGAGCCUGUAACUGUGAACCUGUGCGUGUAACCCUGAGUACGAUAGUAGUUCCAGAGGGUUAAGCCUGUGCAUGUUAGCCAGUGUCUAGCUGUGAGCCUGUGUGUAUUGUAUUAUAUUGUAUUUUAUGUGUGUUCAACACGUAUUUACCUGGAAGGCCAUUCCCAGAAGAUAUAAGUGAGUCUGUGACUGUGUAUGUGAGUCUGUGAGUUGCCUGUGAUUGUGUCAAUGACACGCAUUUCCCUGGAGGUGUAUUCCCAGAAGUAUAUGUGUAUGUAAGCCGGUGACUGUGUGUUUAAGUACGUAUUUGCCUGGAGGUGUAUUCCCAGAAGAACAUGUAUAAGUUCCAUUCUGUGACGUGCAACCGACGAGACGAGCCGUAGCCGACGAGUGUCCACCCGCCGAGUCGACGAGUAUAGCCGACGAGUAUAGCCGACGAGUUCCCUCGAAGACGACGAGGACGAUUGGUGCCAUCCUGACGAGCAUUCCAGUUGAUGCCCAUGAUUCAAGUCUACAGAAGGGUAAAGGAAAACGUCCUGCCAGAAAGUUGAUACAUUAGCAACAACAACUAAGGGGACACUGGAACACCAUAGCACGUCUGACAAUGAACCUGUACUGGCUUUUGUUCCUUCAAGUUCUGAUGAGUCUGAAGGAGAACCACUCAGUGAGAGAGAGGAUGAUUUAAGAACCAAAUGAAAGGGAAAGGAAAAGAGGAAGUAAGAAAGCGAAAGGGCGCUGUUAUGUCCAUGAAGAGAAAGAAAAAAAAUCUAAGGAAAUAUUUGAAAGUCUUACAGUCACCGAAAGGAAAUAAUUUAGAUAUUGCUAGAAUUUUAUCAAAAAGGAAAGAGAAAAAGGAACAAGACCUGUGUCCAGUCCGGAGUAGUGCUCUUGUCACAGAUGCCCACAAUACGAGAGAGUGGAAGAUCGAGUUUGCUGUGGGAUGGUCCCAAAAUUAUGCUCAAGUCAAAGACCUGAGAUGACUCUAUCGGUGCUGGAAAGGAUGACCCUCUACAGUCAGCAGCAGUAUCGACAAGAUGUGUUUUCCUUUUAUGCAGAGACACUUGAAGAUGUCAAUAAAUCUUUCAGACAUGCUGCAUACAGACAAUUUACCAUCUUAAUGCAUGGGAAACUGACUGCUGGAGACAGAAGAACUGUCCCAGCAUGUUGUGUUAAAUUAAUAAGGGAGAAGUUUCCUAGUCUUUCAGGCCAGUAUACAGGCUUCAUACCAGGUGAAGGCCCAGUGUUCUAACAAUUUUGCAUAUUUAUGCCCCCCUUCAAAGAAGAGGGGGUUUAUUGUUUUGCACAUGUCGGUCCGUCCACCAGAUGGUUUCCAGUUGAUAACUUAGGAACGUUAAGGCCUAGGAUCAUGAAACUUCAUAGGUACAUUGAUCAUGACUGGCAAAUGACCCCUAUUGACUUUCAGGUCACUAGGUCAAUGGUCAGUGACUAGAAACAGUAAAACGGUUUCCAGAUGAUAACUCAAGAAUGCUUACGCCUAGGAUCUUGAAACUUCAUAGGUAAAUUGAUCAUAACUGGCAGAUGACCUCUUUAGAUUUUCAGGUCACUAGGUCAAGGUCACAAUGACUCGAAACAAUAAAAUGGUUUCCGGAUGAUAUCUCUAGAAUGCUUACGCCUAGGAUCAUGCAACUUCAUAGGUACAUUGAUAAUGACUGGCAGAUGACCCCUAUUGAUUUUCAGGUCACUAGGUCAAGCUCACAGUGACUCGAAAUAGUAAAAUGGUUUCCUGAUGAUAACUCAAGAAUAAUUAGGCCAAGGAUCAUGAAACUUCAUGGAUAGAUUGAUCAUGACUGACAGAUGACCCGGCAAAAAAACGUAUUCACACAAUGGCUGCAACUACAACUGACAGCCCAUAUGGGGGCAUGCAUGUUUUACAAACAGCCUAGUUGCUAUUCUUUUUCAUUUAUCAGACAUAGAACUUUCUUAGUUUUGAUUAUUUUUUGUUCUGGCUCCUUUUUUGAAACAUUUAUAUUUAUGCAAAUCAUUUGAAUUAUGCUUAAUCAUUUGAAUUUUUCAGUUCUAUGCAUUUUGUUUUGAAAUACCAAUUUGUGUGAAAUGUGCUAGUUUAUUAUUAAAACUUGCACAGCAGUUUUUACAUUUGGUUGCUUACUUUGGUGUCAUUUGAAUGAAAUGCCAUGAGUACUCUGGAUUGUAAGAUGAAAGAAAUAAAAGAAGCAAUGACAUAUUUCUUAAGAAUACUAUGUAAAUAAACUAAUUGAAUAUCAAAAUUCAUUUCUUGUAUACUUAUUU